UUUGAAUGGAAACCUCGUGAAUUGGAUUCGCCCGUGGUUACCGUGGAGAACCUCAACAUAUCUCGCAAAGCUCUCUGGCCACAUGAAGACCUCCAUUAACUGCAGAACUACAUUCACACUUUAACGUGUUGAGAGAGGAGAAGAGAAAAGAAGAGUAAUACCAGCAAUAAAAUGAGUUCAUCUGCAGAGAACUGCCCAAACCCAGACAGACCUCAUGAUGAGGUAGAGGAGAGUAUAACUGGAGGAUCAACAUCAGCAUAUCCACGCUGGAAAAAAUCUAUACCUGUGUGACCAGUGUGGCCCUCGUUUUCAUCAGUCAUCACAUUUGAAGACUCAUCAGUUUAUCUGCAUUGGAGAAAAGUCUCGCGUCUGUGACCAGCAUUUCAAGCAGUCAUCGAGUUGGAAGGUUAAUCAGUUUAGAAUGUGUAUUUGAACGGCCCCCUAUGAAACAAUUGGCAGGAUGAGGUUCGGAAAAGUUGUCAUGAAAUUGUCUCAAUGGUAUUCAUAUACAGUACAUGUAUCAUAAGUUGUCAAAUAGCAGUGAGCAAGGCACUGCCUUAAUAUAGCAUUACAGGACCAAACUAAAACUAUGAGUCUGCAUGCACACUGUCAGGCUAUACUCAGUAACAGCAGUGCUUUCAGGGAAAUGCUCAUAUCA